UUGCGGAGGUAGAGCACUGAAUUUCCUAGGGGGCGUCAAAGCCUACCGAAGAAUAUCAAACUCCGAAUGCCGUGUAGAUAUCACCGGGAGUCAGACUGCACGAGAUAAGUUGGGCGGUCAAAAGGGAAAGAGCCCAGACCUUCAGUUAAGGUCCCCAAGUGCGCGUUAAGUGGAAAAGGAUGUGGGAUUUCGAAGACAACCAGGAUGUUGGCUCAGAAGCAGCCAUACAUUCAAAGAGUGCGUAAUAGCUCACUGGUCGAGAGGUCCUGCGCCGAAAAUGUCCGGGGCUGAAACGCGCCACCGAAACUAAGGAACCGAAAGGUUGGUAGAGGAGCAUUGCAUGCGGGAAGAAGCAGUACCGUAAGGAGCUGUGGACUGCAUGGAAGAGAGAAUGCCGGAAUGAGUAGCGAGAUAGAGGUGGGAAUCCUCUAGGCCGAAUAUCCAAGGUUUCCAGAGUAAAGCUGAUCUGCUCUGGGUAAGUCGGGGCCUAAGGCGAGGACGAGAGUCGUAGCCGAUGGACAACAGGUGGAGAUUCCUGUACUGCGGUAUGACAGAACUGUGGGGACACGUAAGGAAAGCGGAAGCCGGGAAUGGAAAGCCCGGUGCAAGCGGGGUACCAGCCACUUUGGCAAAUCCGGGUGGCAAUGGGAAGCCGUGAUGCGGAGCGAAAUAAAGUAGCGAAGUCCGUGAGCCAUGCGUCAAGAAAAGCCGCUAUCGUUUAUACCGUACCCGUACCGUAAACCGACACAGGUGGAUGAGGAGAGAAUCCUAAGGCCGGCGGAAGAAGCAUUGUCAAGGAACUCGGCAAAAUGGCCCCGUAACUUAGGGAUAAGGGGUGCCUGGGAAACCAGGCCGCAGAGAAUAGGCUCAAGCAACUGUUUAGCAAAAACACAGGUCUAUGCGAAACCGAAAGGUGAGGUAUAUGGGCUGACGCCUGCCCGGUGCUGGAAGGUUAAGAGGAGAGGUUAGCGCAAGCGAAGCUUUGAAUUUAAGCCCCAGUAAACGGCGGCCGUAACUAUAACGGUCCUAAGGUAGCGAAAUUCCUUGUCGGGUAAGUUCCGACCCGCACGAAAGGCGUAAUGAUUUGAGCGCUGUCUCGACAAUGCAUCCGGUGAAAUUGAAGUACCAGUGAAGAUGCUGGUUACCUGCGCCAGGACGGAAAGACCCCAUGGAGCUUUACUCCAGUUUGGUACUGGGAUCCGGUACUGCAUGUACAGGAUAGGUGGGAGGCUGUGAAAUAGUAACGCCAGUUAUUAUGGAGCCGCUGUUGGGAUACCACCCUUGCAGUAUUGGGUUUCUAACCAGCCGCCGUGACCCGGCGGUGGGACAAUGCCAGACGGGGAGUUUGACUGGGGCGGUCGCCUCCGAAAGGGUAUCGGAGGCGCCCAAAGGUUCCCUCAGAAUGGACGGAAACCAUUCGAAGAGUGCAAAGGCAGAAGGGAGCUUGACUGCGACACCGACGG
rnacentral:rRNA from 1 species